GAUGCUACUGAUGAUGAUGAGAAUGAGGAGUUGAUAAAUAUAAGAAAAUGAAAGGGACUGAUAAAAAAAUCAAGAGGACAAGAGUUGGUUUUGGAUUGUGAAGUAAAACUUGAUGAAGAUCAAGUUGAUAUUGGUCACUUACAUGUUGAGGAUGUUGGGGCUUCAUCUAUCCCAAGAAAGCAACCAAAAGUUGAACCUGGUACACAAGAGAGCAAUAGCAGGGGGAAAAAGCAGGCAUCUAGAAAAACUAAGGCUGCAGAGGUAGAAGUUGAACCAACAUUUUCAGAUGGGGAGGAUGAGUUGGGGUUUGGGACAAAAGGAAUGAGG
rnacentral:lncRNA from 1 species